UAGGGAAUCUUCCGCAAUGGGCGAAAGCCUGACGGAGCAACGCCGCGUGAGUGAUGAAGGUCUUCGGAUCGUAAAACUCUGUUAUUAGGGAAGAACAAAUGUGUAAGUAACUAUGCACGUCUUGACGGUACCUAAUCAGAAAGCCACGGCUAACUACGUGCCAGCAGCCGCGGUAAUACGUAGGUGGCAAGCGUUAUCCGGAAUUAUUGGGCGUAAAGCGCGCGUAGGCGGUUUUUUAAGUCUGAUGUGAAAGUCCACGGCUCAACCGUGGAGGGUCAUUGGAAACUGGAAAACUUGAGUGCAGAAGAGGAAAGUGGAAUUCCAUGUGUAGCGGUGAAAUGCGCAGAGAUAUGGAGGAAAACCAGUGGCGAAGGCGACUUUCUGGUCUGUAACUGACGCUGAUGUGCGAAAGCGUGGGGAUCAAACAGG
rnacentral:rRNA from 1 species